GAUGAACGCUAGCUACAGGCUUAACACAUGCAAGUCGAGGGGAAACGACAUCGAAAGCUUGCUUUUGAUGGGCGUCGACCGGCGCACGGGUGAGUAACGCGUAUCCAACCUGCCCAUCACUUGGGGAUAACCUUGCGAAAGUAAGACUAAUACCCAAUGAUAUCUCUAGAAGACAUCUGAAAGAGAUUAAAGAUUUAUCGGUGAUGGAUGGGGGUGCGUCUGAUUAGCUUGUUGGCGGGGUAACGGCCACCAAGGCGACGAUCAGUAGGGUUUGUGAGAGGAAGGUCCCCCACAUUGGAACUGAGGCACGGUCCAAACUCCUACGGGAGGCAGCAGUGAGGAAUAUUGGUCAAUGGGCGAAAGCCUGAACCAGCCAAGUAGCGUGCAGGAAGACGGCCCUAGGGGUUGUAAACUGCUUUUAUAAGGGAAUAAAGUGAGUCUCGUGAGACUUUUUGCAUGUACCUUAUGAAUAAGGACCGGCUAAUUCCGUGCCAGCCGCCGCAGUAA
rnacentral:rRNA from 1 species